AUAAGAAAAAAAAACCUCAUUCGCCUCUUCCCCUAAUCUGUCGAAUCCCAUUUACUUCGUAAACUCUUCUCACGCGGUGAACCAAACGUGAGAGAUUUUCUUGCUCUGCCUGCUUCUCCACAAGCUUCAACUUGGAACAAUUCCCACUCUUAGGGCUUUUUAGUCACCGAAAGGAAAAAGCCCUGAAGCCCUCUUCUUUCACUCGAAGCCCUCUUUGCGCAAUUCACUCGAAGCCCUAAGGACAAAUUCUUCCCUCAUUGCGCAAGACCCCAAAUUAUGUAGGUUCAUCGCUUGGUCGUAAACAGAGAUCCCAAAUACACAAACUUCGUUGAAUCGUAAAGGAGAGAAAGAUGGAUCUAGUCUGCGUCUGCGUGAGGAGCAAUCGUUGCUAACAUCAUCCUUUUUUCAAUUCGUUUCUGGUUUAUUAAUCCGUUCUGUCUUAGAAUAGGGGAUAUCCUUCUAGUUCGGGCACUUCUAUCACUUUGUGGAAAUGGAGGAUGUGAAAAAUGGCGAACAGCUACCUCCAGAGUCCUCUUCAUUAUCCAACCAUGAUGAUCAUUCUAGUAAUGAGACUACAGAAAACCCAGUUCUGAAUGGAAAACUCGAAAACAACGGUGAGUCAUUGAUGACGGGAAACUCGAAGUUAACAACUGCACAAGAUGCUUCUGAGCAAGACAACUUCCUCCAACAGACAAUCAGGCAUCUAGCUCAACAACCACGGAACAAAGUCAAGCAUCUGAUAGCCCAUCUAUAGGACAAAGUCAACCUGUUCUAUCCGAUGCUCCAGCCUUGACUUCACCAAAAGUAAUUAAUGAAACAGAGACCCAGAGUAAGGGUGUUGUGGUGGAAGGUUCUGAAAACCAACCUUUACAGGAUACCUCUAAUGCUUUAGCAUCCCGAAGGACAGGCAAAGAAAAUGAUACAGAUAAUCACAGUAACGCAACUGCUCCCUCUCCUUCCUUUUCGGAGGCAACAAAUUCUAAAAAGAUGACGUGAGUCUUCUAUUGAGUGAAGACUACUGGCUGAAGUCUUUCCACGGCAGGAGAAAGGCAGGAUAACAUCCCCGUUGUUGGACCGGAACAAGAAACGGAAGCUAGUCGUCAUUUGCCUAAGGUUUAAUGAAGUUUUCUAUUCUUAUAUUUUGCUUAAGUUGAUAAAAAAAAUGGUGUUACUAUUAUGCCAUUCUUGCUUAUGGGCUAAUAUUAUGCAUCCAUAGCUCAUUUGGAGUUAAAUUCUGUUGAUUGUUCCAUUCAUUCAUAAUAUUGAAUUUGCUCCCUUAGUAAGGUCUUCUAUGUACACGCAUAACAAUCAAGAUAAAACCAAUUAUAAAGUUAGGGAUUUUAAGACGUUUUGGUUACUCUUUUAUAUUGUUGAGCUUUGAAGCUAAAGGUCUUUGGACUUUCUUAUACAACCUUUAACAGAAGUGUUGUUGAUGAACUGUCUUAUACAGCCUUAUGUGUUGUAUACACCCAUAGAGAUGUAUAUAUGAUCUUUGGAAUCUA